rnacentral:lncRNA from 1 species
ACAACCUGUCACUGUGGCUGGUAUUACUCCUACAUUUGCUUUCUUACUUCUUUUAAAUAGGUGUUUACAAGGUAACCACCAGAACCAGCGUAUUCAAAGCUACAGAACUGGCAGACAUCAGUAUCUAAUAGCUGGUGUCCUUCCUCCUUUCCUCCCGUUACAUACGCUCUGUGAAAUGGUGUCAGUGAAGACAACCAAGCCUGCUCUUCUUUUUCCCCAAGCAACUCACAAAUUAUUUGGGAAUCUCAGAGAAGCCCAGCACCAGACAUCAUUAAUUCUCUAGUCUUAGUAGAUCUAGAAGUACCAACCUGUGCGGAUGGAUAAGUGGCUAACAGAAAACAGCAGGCUGAAGAGAAGGUAAGCACGUGCUAGGAAAUAGUAUUUAAAUCCUUCUAAGGUCUGAUAAGUAAGUUGUACAGACUGAUGGUCCAGUUGAACCUGUAAAAACUGAUAAAACUUCAAAAUUGUCCUGAACUUGUUCAAAUCAAUCAGUACAUCGUAACAUCAACAAGGGGUUCUGUCACACAGAUCACAUCCACGAAGGUGGAGGCUGCUGUAUCCUGACAAAGACCCUGGUGUAAUACAUGCACCCUAAAGGGUCUCCCAGACCUACCUAUAAGCCGCUCCAGUGGUUGGCCUCCAGCUGUUGCUCCAUCCACAUAACAGCCAGUGACUAUAUGAGAGUGUGCAUGUGCCUGAACUCAAAUGAUUAUCACCUUCAAUUGAACUGAAGCAGACAGCCGGGCAGACUCACAUACAUCAUCGUAGGUACAGGGAAAAGGAAACAGUGACUAUGCACUAGUGGAUUUAACACAUUUUAUUACUGUAUGUUGUAAUAAAAAAAAAAAUGUUUCCUUCUCUGAAUCUGUG